CAGCAGCCGCGGGAAUACGGAGGGUGCAAGCGUUAUCCGGAUUUAUUGGGUUUAAAGGGUCCGUAGGCGGACUUAUAAGUCAGUGGUGAAAGCCUGUCGCUUAACGAUAGAACUGCCAUUGAUACUGUAAGUCUUGAGUAUAUUUGAGGUAGCUGGAAUAAGUAGUGUAGCGGUGAAAUGCAUAGAUAUUACUUAGAACACCAAUUGCGAAGGCAGGUUACCAAGAUAUAACUGACGCUGAGGUACGAAAGCAUGGGGAGCAAACAGGAUUAGAUACCCCAGUAGUCCCUGUCUCUUAUAC
rnacentral:rRNA from 1 species